GAUGAACGCUAGCUACAGGCUUAACACAUGCAAGUCGAGGGGGAAACGACAUCGAAAGCUUGCUUUUGAUGGGCGUCGACCGGCGCACGGGUGAGUAACGCGUAUCCAACCUGCCCAUCACUUGGGAAUAACCUUGCGAAAGUAAGACUAAUACCCAAUGACAUCCCACGAAGACAUCUGAAUGGGAUUAAAGAUUUAUCGGUGAUGGAUGGGGAUGCGUCUGAUUAGCUUGUUGGCGGGGUAACGGCCCACCAAGGCAACGAUCAGUAGGGGUUCUGAGAGGAAGGUCCCCCACAUUGGAACUGAGACACGGUCCAAACUCCUACGGGAGGCAGCAGUGAGGAAUAUUGGUCAAUGGGCGAGAGCCUGAACCAGCCAAGUAGCGUGCAGGAUGACGGCCCUAUGGGUUGUAAACUGCUUUUAUAAGGGAAUAAAGUGGGUCUCGUGAGACUUUUUGCAUGUACCUUAUGAAUAAGGACCGGCUAAUUCCGUG
rnacentral:rRNA from 1 species